GAUGAACGCUGGCGGCGUGCCUAAUACAUGCAAGUCGAGCGAACGGACGAGAAGCUUGCUUCUCUGAUGUUAGCGGCGGACGGGUGAGUAACACGUGGAUAACCUACCUAUAAGACUGGGAUAACUUCGGGAAACCGGAGCUAAUACCGGAUGAUAUUUUGAACCGCAUGGUUCAAAAGUGAAAGACGGUCUUGCUGUCACUUAUAGAUGGAUCCGCGCUGCAUUAGCUAGUUGGUAAGGUAAUGGCUUACCAAGGCAACGAUGCAUAGCCGACCUGAGAGGGUGAUCGGCCACACUGGAACUGAGACACGGUCCAGACUCCUACGGGAGGCAGCAGUAGGGAAUCUUCCGCAAUGGGCGAAAGCCUGACGGAGCAACGCCGCGUGAGUGAUGAAGGUCCUCGGAUCGUAAAACUCUGUUAUUAGGGAAGAACAUAUGUGUAAGUAACUGUGCACAUCUUGACGGUACCUAAUCAGAAAGCCACGGCUAACUACGUG
rnacentral:rRNA from 1 species